rnacentral:lncRNA from 1 species
UCCCUCUCAAGAUUAAAGCUGAAUCCCACUGGACUCCAUAAUACAGCAUAGGUGCAGCAGAGCUGUUUACAUGCCAGUCCUUUAACCACUUGGCCGCUUAAGGUGAAAACAGCCUCCAGUUUAUUUCCCUUGUAUUUUCUGCCAGAGCCAAGCGACCUGGCAGAGGAACAUUCUGUUUCUGACCAUGAAUAUUGCUGGCUGAAUAAGGUCUAUGGUAAGAUUUCCAGAGGACCUGAAGAGUUGAAAGAGUAGCUCUGGUCACGAGGCUGAUCCAAGAUUCUGAGUGAGGCUGUUUCAGUCCUGAGGAAGGACUCCUGCACCUGGAAUCUGGUCUGUUUCUGACUGUUGUCCCAGGUGAUCCAAUAAAAGGUAUUGCUUCUCUCUCUAGAGGCUUAAC